rnacentral:rRNA from 1 species
CAUGCAAGUCGAACGAUGAAGCCCAGCUUGCUGGGUGGAUUAGUGGCGAACGGGUGAGUAACACGUGAGUAACCUGCCCUUAACUCUGGGAUAAGCCUGGGAAACUGGGUCUAAUACCGGAUAGGAGCGUCCACCGCAUGGUGGGUGUUGGAAAGAUUUAUCGGUUUUGGAUGGACUCGCGGCCUAUCAGCUUGUUGGUGAGGUAAUGGCUCACCAAGGCGACGACGGGUAGCCGGCCUGAGAGGGUGACCGGCCACACUGGGACUGAGACACGGCCCAGACUCCUACGGGAGGCAGCAGUGGGGAAUAUUGCACAAUGGGCGAAAGCCUGAUGCAGCGACGCCGCGUGAGGGAUGACGGCCUUCGGGUUGUAAACCUCUUUCAGUAGGGAAGAAGCGAAAGUGACGGUACCUGCAGAAGAAGCACCGGCUAACUACGUGCCAGCAGCCGCGGUAAUACGUAGGGUGCGAGCGUUAUCCGGAAUUAUUGGGCGUAAAGAGCUCGUAGGCGGUUUGUCGCGUCUGUCGUGAAAGUCCGGGGCUUAACCCCGGAUCUGCGGUGGGUACGGGCAGACUAGAGUGCAGUAGGGGAGACUGGAAUUCCUGGUGUAGCGGUGGAAUGCGCAGAUAUCAGGAGGAACACCGAUGGCGAAGGCAGGUCU